rnacentral:lncRNA from 1 species
GUGCUAAGCUUAGUGCUCUCUCUCCCACCACCAGUGGCAGAGCCACUGUGUGGGGAGAAACACCUUUUUAUCUUGGAGAGGGGCAGCCUUGUUUCUGAGGACAGAUGGGAGCAAAACGGGACAGGUAGGAAGUUUCGUGGUUUCUCGUGUCGCUUCUCCAAAAUAGCCACACUGCUGCCUCCCACUUCCUGCCUGACUCGGCUGGGGUAGAUUUUCUCCUUUAGAGGAUUUGUGUUCUGUGUAUUCCCAGGGAGGCUCGAAGGGAUCUGUUGCCAAAAACAUGCUUGACACUGAAGCCCUGGAGCUUGGCACUGAGGGCCCCAGCUCAGGUUUGGACCACUGGGUUUGCAUCCGGGCUCUGUCUCAUACUGGCUGCGUGACCUUGGGCAAAUGACUUCACUUCUCUGUGCCUCAUCAGUAGGAUGGAGAUAACAACUCUAGCUAUAUCCAGCAGUUACUCUGCAGAUUAAAUGAAUAUGUGUAAAGGGCACAGCCCAGUGUGGGCACAUAGCAACUCUUAAUGAAUCUCUUAAUAAAAAACAGCAAUGUUGUUGUUGAUCUCCAUCCCCUACCUGGAAAACUGUACCAGCCUCCCAGCCACCUUCCCUUUCCCCUGGCUUGCCUGCUCCAGCACAUCCCAGCAUGAUCCGAGAGUGAUAGAAACGUGAAACACAAAUCUGACCCUGCUAUCUGCUGCUUAAAAUCCACCCAUAGCUUCCAGCGUCUAUGGCAGGAAUGAGCAUUCUUUUGCUCUGAAUGGCCAGAUAGUAUUUGAAGCUUUGCCGGGCAUAUAGUCUCUCUUGACUUUGUCAUUGCAGCCUGGAAGCAACCACAGAUAAUAUGUAAAAAAUGGGCGUGGUUGUGUUCCAGUAAAAUUUUAUGUACGAAAACAGGCAGCCGGCUGGAUUUGCCAACCCUUGACCUACAGGAUGAAUCCAGACCCUUAGCUCAGCAUUCCCAGUUCAGCCUGUUCCCGUUAUCUCCAUCCUUCUUCCUCCCCCACCCCUGCUCUUGUGCAGAACAUGUCACACUUUAAUCCUUUGCGUGUGCUGCUCCCUCUUUCUGAGUUUUCCUUCCCUGCCCCCUGAGUGCCCCUUCCCCAUGGCAUUAGGACCUUUACUCUGGGAUUCUGUGGUACCCUGUCUUUAUUUCUACCCUGGUCAUAUAUGCAAGUUCCAUCUGUCUCUCCAUGAGAGGGGCUCCCCUCUAGGCAGGGAUUCGGCCUUCCUCUUCUGUACACCCAGCAGGGUGCUGCUGUAUAGGUUUCUGCAGGUGCUCAGUAAGCAUUUGUUAUUGAACCCAAGGAUCUGCAAGAUGGAUGGUUGGCCUCAGGGAGCUCACAGUCAGCUUAGAAAGCUAGGAUAUGAGCCAGUCAAAAGCCAGCCAGCAAUCCAGGCAGGAAAUGAUGAUGGUCUGUGUGUUUGGCCCUAACUGAUGUCAAGUGGAGAUUCUGAGCUUGAUAGAGGAAGGGCCUCGGGUGGUCCUCGAGGUGCCGCAGGUGGAAGAAGAACAGGCCAAGGCAAAUGCCUCCGGUACCCAGCACUGCCUGGUGCACAGUAGUGGUUGAUCAGUAAUUGUUGAACCAAUCAGGGUUUCUGUUUGCUUGAAGGAAAGGGUAGGAGUGGAGGGUGAGUGACUGGGUGAAUGGGUGCUAUGAGGACAAAGGAGAGUGGAGUUUAGAGGUAGCACUAGUGUCGCAAGCCUGAAGGUUUACCAGAGACAGAGGGGUGAAAAGAUGAGUGGGGCACUAAGCAUAUUGAAUGUGAGAGCUGCUGGAAAUGCAGGAUUGGGGCGUGCUGGGUGGGGCAGGUGAUGUGUGCAGCUGUGGAAGCUGCUACCAAGUCAAGCAUUUUCAGAUGGACAUGCUUAGGCAGGAAGGAACAAGGCUUGGCUCCUGGCCUGGGGAGAGUUAACCUCCUGGCCCGGCAUUGCAUAACCGCAGAGUCUGCUGAGCGCAAGGAGACUCUUCUGUGUGGCAGCCAGAGUGGCAAGCCUGGUGGCUCCGGGCUCUGGCACCAUCCCGCAGCGGAACAAACAGCCCUCCCUUCCCAGAUAAUGGCCCUCAUUGAGCAUUGUGUCCAUGGCCAGCACCCAGCACAGGGCAGCUCAGCCUGGAGGGCAGUCACUGACCACAGCUCUGUUAGAAGAUCUGCUUGACAUAAUGAGGCUUCACAGUUUGGGACUUUAUCUCGUCAUUCUGGGGCCUAGGAGGGGACGUGUGGAAACACCUCCCAGUGUCCAGAAGCCAUCCCAGCACAUCGUGGGGCUCCUGCCUGGAGCCCUGAAACAUUUCCUGUGGCCACAUUCCAGCCCCCUGUGCUUUGCGUACAUUGAACCUUGUAUUAGUCAGGGUUCUCUAGAGGGACAGAACUACUAGGAUAGAUGUAUACAUAAAGGGGAGUUUAUUGAGGAGUAUUGACUCACACAAUCACAAGGUGAGGUCCCACAAUAGGCCGUCUGCAAGCAAGGAAGCCAGUCUGAGUCCCAAAGCUGAAGAACUUGGCGUCCAAUGUUUGAGGGCAGGAAGCAUCCAGUGCAGGAGAAAGAUGUAGGCCAGGAGGCUAAGCCAGUCUAGUCUUUUCAUGUUCUUCUACCUGCUUUUAUCCUGGACACACUGGCAGCUGAUUAGAUGGUGCCCACCCAGAUUGAGGGUGGGUCUGCCUUUCCCAGUCCACUGACUCAAAUGUUAAUCUCCUUUGGCAACACCCUCUUCAUCCUUCAAUCCAAUCAAGUUGACAUUCGAUAUUAAUCAUCACAAGCCUCCCACCUAGAGUCUCUUUCUUGCAAAUCUCACCAUCAACAUCUUCCCAUAGUUCAAAACCCAGCUCAAACAAGGGUAUGCUGACUCCUCUGUGGAAUUAGUCUCCAGACUCCUUUCUCGGCAUGUCCCACCAGGAACAACAAUGUGUAAAGGCAGAGAGUUCAAAGUGUAAGAGCAGGAUGGAGAGAGAGGAGGCCAGGAAGACUGGGUGGGCCCUAUUUUGACAGGACUGAAACGCCAAUGGCUGAAUCUCUCUGCAUUGGGGAGCUACUGAGAAUUACUGACAAGGGGAGAGGUCUGGUGAGCUUGGCAACUGAAGAGAUUUCUCUUUCCACAAUGAAUAGUGGAGUGGGGUGGACUGGGAGAAGGCUAGAAACCUGGAAGCAAGGUGAUUAGGAGGCAGUUGGAGGAAUUUCAUCAGCUUCCCCAAAUGCCAGUAGAAAAGUAUAUGCCAGAUUUACAAUAUUCACAUGGGGAAUUAGCAAAAAUAUAGAUUCUGGGUCCCUUUCCCACAAAUUCUAUUUCAGUGGAUUUGGAAUAGGGCUAGAACCUGUGCUUUUAUCAGACACCACAGACAUUUCAGAGGUGGGGAGGUGGACUAUUCAAUAAUGCUGUUGGGACAACUGGCUAGCUAGGGAGUAAAAAAACUUAAGCUUUAUCUUUACCUCACUCCUUACACACAAAUAAGUGCCAGAUGGAGCCAAGGUGACAAUGGAAAGGAAAGAAGAGAGGAAAGGAGGGAA